CUUGGUGACCACGCGGAGGGAUCAUUACCGAGUUGUAACACUCACAAACCCACUGCAAACGUACCCAUUUUGGUGACUCCGGCAGGCGGCCCCAGGGCGGGGCCUCAGCCUUUUUAGGCGCCUGCCGAAGGUGCCGCAACUUUACUCUAUAAUCAUGUAUUCUGAGUCCUAAGACAAAAUAUCAAAAUUUUCAAUUGUGGAUCUCUUGGUUCUGGCAUCGAUGAAGAACGCAGCGAAAUGCGAUAAGUAAUGUGAAUUGCAGAAUUCAGUGAAUCAUCGAAUCUUUGAACGCACCUUGCGCUCCCUGGUAUUCCGGGGAGCAUGCCUGUUUGAGUGUCAUUAAAUUCUCAACCUUUACAGUUUUUACUAGCUGUUCAGGCUUGGAUGUGGGGGUUUGCGGGGCUUCUCACGAAAGUCGGCUUCUCCUUAAAUGCAUUUAGCGAAACCCUUUUGUUUGACCCAGCUAUGGGUGUGAU
rnacentral:rRNA from 1 species